UUAAACUAUCUAGGAAACUACAUCCCCAACGCCUGGAACUAUGAGAGAGGCUGUGGCGUCUGUGACCACAACAUGGUGGAUUUGUCUCAGCUUAAAGAGUAUCCAACUGUUAUGGUCGGAGUGUUCAUCGAACAGCCCACUCCUUUCCUCUCUGAAUUCUUCCAGAGACUUGUGACCCUCGACUACCCCAAAGAUAAACUCAACGUCUUCGUUCAUAACAACGAGGUUUACCAUGAGAGACACAUCCAGAAGUUUUGGGAGGCGAAGUAAAGAUGUGUUUACAGCUUCAAGGUUGUGGGUCCGGAGGAGAACUUGAGCCAAGGACAGGCCAGAAACAUG